AGAGUUUGAUCAUGGCUCAGGACGAACGCUGGCGGCGUGCUUAACACAUGCAAGUCGAGCGGUGAACCCUUCGGGGGGAUCAGCGGCGAACGGGUGAGUAACACGUGAGCAACCUGCCCCUGACUCUGGGAUAGCCUCGGGAAACCGGGAUUAAUACCGGAUAUGACAUUGCCUCGCAUGGGGUGGUGUGGAAAGUUUUUCGGUUGGGGAUGGGCUCGCGGCCUAUCAGCUUGUUGGUGGGGUGAUGGCCUACCAAGGCGACGACGGGUAGCCGGCCUGAGAGGGUGACCGGCCACACUGGGACUGAGACACGGCCCAGACUCCUACGGGAGGCAGCAGUGGGGAAUAUUGCGCAAUGGGCGAAAGGCCUGACGCAGCGACGCCGCGUGAGGGAUGAAGGCCUUCGGGUUGUAAACCUCUUUCAGCAGGGAAGAAGCGCAAGUGACGGUACCUGCAGAAGAAGCACCGGCUAACUACGUGCCAGCAGCCGCGGUAAUACGUAGGGUGCAAGCGUUGUCCGGAAUUAUUGGGCGUAAAGAGCUCGUAGGCGGUUUGUCGCGUCUGCUGUGAAAACGCGGGGCUCAACUCCGCGCCUGCAGUGGGUACGGGCAGACUAGAGUGCAGUAGGGGAGACUGGAAUUCCUGGUGUAGCGGUGGAAUGCGCAUAUAUCAGGAGGAACACCGGUGGCGAAGGCGGGUCUCUGGGCUGUAACUGACGCUGAGGAGCGAAAGCGUGGGUAGCGAACAGGAUUAGAUACCCUGGUAGUCCACGCCGUAAACGUUGGGCGCUAGGUGUGGGGCUCAUUCCACGAGUUCCGUGCCGCAGCAAACGCAUUAAGCGCCCCGCCUGGGGAGUACGGCCGCAAGGCUAAAACUCAAAGGAAUUGACGGGGCCCCGCACAAGCGGCGGAGCAUGCGGAUUAAUUCGAUGCAACGCGAAGAACCUUACCAAGGUUUGACAUGCAGGGUAAUCCGGCAGAGAUGUCGGGUCCGCAAGGGAUCUUGCACAGGUGGUGCAUGGUUGUCGUCAGCUCGUGUCGUGAGAUGUUGGGUUAAGUCCCGCAACGAGCGCAACCCUCGUUCUUUGUUGCCAGCGCGUGAUGGCGGGGACUCAUAGGAGACUGCCGGGGCCCAACUCGGAGGAAGGUGGGGAUGACGUCAAAUCAUCAUGCCCCUUAUGCCUUGGGCUUCACGCAUGCUACAAUGGCCAGUACAAAGGGCUGCGAGACCGUGAGGUGGAGCGAAUCCCAAAAAGCUGGUCUCAGUUCGGAUCGGGGUCUGCAACUCGACCCCGUGAAGUCGGAGUCGCUAGUAAUCGCAGAUCAGCAACGCUGCGGUGAAUACGUCUCCCGGGGCUUGUACACACCGCCCGUCACUUUUGGAAAGUUGGUAACACCCGAAGCCGGUGGCCUAACCCUUGUGGGGGGAGCCGUCGAAGGUGGGACUGGCGAUUGGGACGAAGUCCUAACAAGGUAACCGUA
rnacentral:rRNA from 1 species